rnacentral:rRNA from 1 species
UACAGAGGUCCCAAGCGUUGUUCGGAUUCACUGGGCGUAAAGGGUGCGUAGGCGGUUGGGUAAGUCUGAUGUGAAAUCUCACAGCUUAACUGUGAAACUGCAUUGGAUACUAUCCAACUCGAGGAAUGGAGGGGAGACUGGAAUUCCUGGUGUAGCGGUGAAAUGCGCAGAUAUCAGGAGGAACACCGGUGGCGAAGGCGGGUCUCUGGGCCGAUACUGACGCUGAGGAGCGAAAGCGUGGGGAGCGAACAGG